rnacentral:rRNA from 1 species
AUUGAACGCUGGCGGCAGGCCUAACACAUGCAAGUCGAGCGAGUGGCGGACGGGUGAGUAAUGUAUGGGAAACUGCCCGAUGGAGGGGGAUAACUACUGGAAACGGUAGCUAAUACCGCAUACCAUCGGAUGUGCCCAGAUGGGAUUAGCUAGUAGGUGGGGUAACGGCUCACCUAGGCGACGAUCUCUAGCUGGUCUGAGAGGAUGACCAGCCACACUGGGACUGAGACACGGCCCAGACUCCUACGGGAGGCAGCAGUGGGGAAUAUUGCACAAUGGGCGCAAGCCUGAUGCAGCCAUGCCGCGUGUAUGAAGAAGGCCUUAGGGUUGUAAAGUACUUUCAGCGAGGAGGCGUUACUCGCAGAAGAAGCACCGGCUAACUCCGUGCCAGCAGCCGCGGUAAUAC